rnacentral:lncRNA from 1 species
AAAACAUUUUCUGAAAACAACUUGACCUUUUGCUUAAUGACUUUGCAUUUUUUUUCCCAGGAGAGGUGCCCGAUGAGCUCCCAGUCAUGUGGUUCAGGGCGGGCUCUGGAAGACUCACAGAGGAGACUCCUCCAAGAAACCAAGAAGGUUUCUCUCCAAGUCGGGAUCUGCUCUGCUCAGGAUGCUCCUCCAACACACACAGUGAAAAACUGAGCACCUAGAGAGCAACACCAAAAACCCAUGGCCAAUAAUGGAGAACCAAAUCAGGAGAGCAUUCAGCAAAGCAAUUCUUGCUGUAGAAGGAACAGCACAAAAAGCUGGAAGGAAACUGUGGCAUGCGUGAAAGAUAACUUGUCAGUGUUUGCAGUCUACUGAGAUCCCCGCUGCAAGAAAAGGCAGGAUUUUCACUUGCUUCUUGGCCCACCUCUGUUGUCCAGAAUCCAGGACAGGUGACAAGAGAAGCGGAUGUGAUCUGCACAAGCUGGUGCAGCUGGGUUGGGAGUAGCUCCUCCUGGACAGGCCGGGAAGGGUGCUGGAGGGGAGGGAGGAGGAGAGAGGUUUUAGGGUAGGGGUGCUGAGCAGUCAGGGACCUGUAAGGUCACAUUUCUUUCAGGUAUUCUUUCUAGGUGUACUGAAUGGGAACAUUG